rnacentral:misc_RNA from 1 species
GAUUUGUAAUCCGAGAAAUGU